rnacentral:rRNA from 1 species
UGGCGGACGGGUGAGGAAUACAUCGGAAUCUACUCUGUCGUGGGGGAUAACGUAGGGAAACUUACGCUAAUACCGCAUACGACCUACGGGUGAAAGCAGGGGAUCUUCGGACCUUGCGCGAUUGAAUGAGCCGAUGUCGGAUUAGCUAGUUGGCGGGGUAAAGGCCCACCAAGGCGACGAUCCGUAGCUGGUCUGAGAGGAUGAUCAGCCACACUGGAACUGAGACACGGUCCAGACUCCUACGGGAGGCAGCAGGC